GUUGGCCUGCACGCUGCCAAGCCUCCUGCCAUGAUGAUAAUGGACUCCACCUCGGAACUGUACUCAAGAAACUGAGAGGGAAAGGAACAUUUUGAGUUAGUGAAGUGUCCAUGCGGCCAUUCAUGCCACAAGUAUCGAUGCUUCACGAUGCCCCUGACUGUCCCUCGGCAUCUUCCUCCAUUCAAGCGAGAAGACAGAGGGUCCCGUUUUCCUACUAUUUCAGCAGCCAAAGAAAUUAACAUGGUGCACUGAAUAAGGCUGGACAUGCUAGGCAAAGGAAACUUGAACAUGAAUUUUACGAAUUAAGAUAUCUGAGUGCCCAACAACACACCAGCAGGUGUUUCUUUACUUGUCAAAGAGACUCAGAUCUGCGGGACACCAGGGCACACACACCGGAAGAGCAGAACUGGAAAGAGACAGUUGGAUGAAAAUAUCCCUUGAUGCCAAAGAGACUAACCUUUCCCCAGGCCUAUCCACCAUGGGAAUACUAUGCCUCGAGACCAUUUAAAACUAUGUUCUCUUCUAUGCAAUCCAGGAUGUACAGUGAAAAACAAAAAACAAAAACUAUGUUCUCAACCUGAUGUCCUACUGUGUGCUCAGCCUGUUUAAGUUUAACCUGUAUUCAAGAGAACAAUGCAACCAACUUUGCUGUGCCUUGGACUUGCCAGCAAUGAAAUUUUGUAACCCAAGGUAAAUUCAUAGCUCUGAUUUUAAAGUUAUGAACUCUUCCAUGCCCUUGACCUAGAAUAAUAUGUGUGUGUGUGUGUGUGUGUGUGUGUGCGUGUGUGUGUGUGUGUGUGUUGUGGUGAUUGUUUUCAGAAAACAAGUUUAAAGCAGCCUUAAACCAAAUAAAUAUCCCAUAAAUGUUGGAAUCAGCAUGUGGAUAUAGGUUGCUGAUAUCUGUUUGAGGUAUUUACUGCUAUUCUGGGUCA